rnacentral:snoRNA from 1 species
ACUGCAUUUUUAGCCACUGAGGCUGAAGAACUCACAAAUGUAGGUAGUAUGCUACAGGAGGGGCAAGUCUUUCACUAACACCACAGGAUCUCUGGCCCAACGGGUGGAGUUUGAUAGUAAUCCCUGCUACCAGU